rnacentral:rRNA from 1 species
CCUACGGGGGGCAGCAGUGAGGAAUAUUGGUCAAUGGACGAGAGUCUGAACCAGCCAAGUAGCGUGAAGGAUGACUGCCCUAUGGGUUGUAAACUUCUUUUAUAUGGGAAUAAAAUGUUCCACGUGUGGGAUUUUGUAUGUACCAUAUGAAUAAGGAUCGGCUAACUCCGUGCCAGCAGCCGCGGUAAUACGGAGGAUCCGAGCGUUAACCGGAUUUAUUGGGUUUAAAGGGAGCGUAGGUGGAUUGUUAAGUCAGUUGUGAAAGUUUGCGGCUCAACCGUAAAAUUGCAGUUGAAACUGGCAGUCUUGAGUACAGUAGAGGUGGGCGGAAUUCGUGGUGUAGCGGUGAAAUGCUUAGAUAUCACGAAGAACUCCGAUUGCGAAGGCAGUUCACUGGACUGCAACUGACACUGAGGCUCGAAAGUGUGGGUAUCAAACAGGAUUAGAUACCCGAGUAGUC